GACGAACGCUGGCGGCGCGCCUAACACAUGCAAGUCGAACGAGCGAGAGAGAGCUUGCUUUCUUGAGCGAGUGGCGAACGGGUGAGUAACGCGUGAGGAACCUGCCUCAAAGAGGGGGACAACAGUUGGAAACGACUGCUAAUACCGCAUAAGCCCACGACCCGGCAUCGGGUUGAGGGAAAAGGAGCAAUCCGCUUUGAGAUGGCCUCGCGUCCGAUUAGCUAGUUGGUGAGGUAACGGCCCACCAAGGCGACGAUCGGUAGCCGGACUGAGAGGUUGAACGACCACAUUGGGACUGAGACACGGCCCAGACUCCUAUGGGAGGCAGCAGUGGGGAAUAUUGCACAAUGGGGGAAACCCUGAUGCAGCGACGCCGCGUGGAGGAAGAAGGUCUUCGGAUUGUAAACUCCUGUUGUUGAGGAAGAUAAUGACGGUACUCAACAAGGAAGUGACGGCUAACUACGUG
rnacentral:rRNA from 1 species